UAGGCAGAGGCCAGUAGGUUUGGGCGUUUAGCUGUUAACUAAAACUUUACGGGAUCGAAGCCCGUCUGUCUAG
rnacentral:tRNA from 1 species